GAUGAAGAACGUAGCGAAAUGCGAUACGUAAUGUGAAUUGCAGAAUUCAGCGAACCAUCGAAUCUUUGAACGCACAUUGCGCCCGCCAGUAUUCUGGCGGGCAUGCCUGUCCGAGCGUCAUUUCCCCCCUCACGCGCCCCGUUGCGCGCUGGUGUUGGGGCUCCUCCGCCUGGCGGAGGGCCCCGAAAGCGAGUGGCGGGCCCGGCUGGUUGGCUCCGAGCGCAGUACCGAACGCAAGUUCUCCCCUCGCUCAGACGCCCCGCCGGCGCCCUGCCGUCAAAACGCGCAUGACGUGCAACUCUUUUUACAAGGUUGACCUCGGAUCAGGUAGGACUACCCGCUGAACUUAAGCAUAUCAAUAAGCGGAGGA
rnacentral:misc_RNA from 1 species